rfam:Methylobacillus flagellatus KT, complete genome.
GGUGAUGUAGCUCAGCUGGUUAGAGCACAGGAUUCAUAAUCCUGGGGUCGAGGGUUCAAGUCCCCCCAUCACCA